AUUUUAGAACUCCAUUACCUCUGCUCCUACUUGAAUGAGACAAGGAAAAUAUAGAUUCAAGUUAGCAAUGUUAGUUUUUGUUGUUCUUGUUGUUCUUUUUAGUUGUUGUUUUUGUUGUUAUUAUUGUUCUUGUUAUUAUUCUUGUUGUUCUUGUUGUUUUGUCAUUGUUACUCUUUUUGUUAUUGUUGUUGUUUUUGUUGUUGUUUUU
rnacentral:lncRNA from 1 species